rnacentral:rRNA from 1 species
UCCGCAGGCGGGCAAUUAAGUCAGGGGUGAAAUGCUGCAGCUCAACUGUAGCACUGCCCUUGAUACUGGUUGUCUUGAGUUAUAGUGGAGUGGCUGGAAUAUGUAGUGUAGCGGUGAAAUGCAUAGAUAAUUACAUAGAACACCAAUCGCGAAGGCAGGUCACUAACUAUUAACUGACGCUGAUGGACGAAAGCGUGGGGAGCGAACG